rnacentral:rRNA from 1 species
AUUGAACGCUGGCGGCAGGCUUAACACAUGCAAGUCGAGCGGGGUGAUGGUGCUUGCACUAUCACUUAGCGGCGGACGGGUGAGUAAUGCUUAGGAAUCUGCCUAUUAGUGGGGGACAACAUCUCGAAAGGGAUGCUAAUACCGCAUACGUCCUACGGGAGAAAGCAGGGGAUCACUGGUGACCUUGCGCUAAUAGAUGAGCCUAAGUCGGAUUAGCUAGUUGGUGGGGUAAGGGCCUACCAAGGCGACGAUCUGUAGCGGGUCUGAGAGGAUGAUCCGCCACACUGGGACUGGGACACGGCCCAGACUCCUACGGGAGGCAGCAGUGGGGAAUAUUGGACAAUGGGGGGAACCCUGAUCCAGCCAUGCCGCGUGUGUGAAGAAGGCCAUAUGGUUGUAAAGCACUUUAAGCGAGGAGGAGGCUCUUUUGGUUAAUACCCAAGAUGAGUGGACGUUACUCGCAGAAUAAGCACCGGCUAACUCUGUGCCAGCCGCCGCCGUAA